rnacentral:rRNA from 1 species
GACGAACGCUGGCGGCGUGCUUAACACAUGCAAGUCGAACGGAAAGGCCCUGCUUUUGUGGGGUGCUCGAGUGGCGAACGGGUGAGUAACACGUGAGUAACCUGCCCUUGACUUUGGGAUAACUUCAGGAAACUGGGGCUAAUACCGGAUAGGAGCACCUGCUGCAUGGCGGGGGCUGGAAAGUUUCGGCGGUUGGGGAUGGACUCGCGGCUUAUCAGCUUGUUGGUGGGGUAGGGGCAUACCAAGGCCUAGACGGGUAGCCGGCCUGAGAGGGUGACCGGCCACAUUGGGACUGAGAUACGGCCCAGACUGCUACGGGAGGCAGCGGUGGGGAAUAUUGCACAAUGGGCGGAAGCAGGAUGCAGCAACGCCGCGUGCGGGAUGACGGCCUUCGGGUUGUAAACCGCUUUCGCCUGUGACGAAGCGUGAGUGACGGUAAUGGGUAAAGAAGCACCGGCUAACUACGUG